rnacentral:rRNA from 1 species
UUACCGGUUUAAAUGGCAGGAAACUCUUUCGGGCCAAGGUGCUGCAUGGUUGUCGUCAGCUCGUGCCGUGAGGUGUCGGGUUAAGUCCCAUAACGAGCGCAACCCUAUCUUAGUUGCCAUCAGCUGGGACUCUAAGAGACUGCCGGUGUAACCGGAGGAAGGUGGGGAUGACGUCAAAUCAGCACGGCCCUUAUACCGGGCUACACACGUGUUACAGUGGGGUACAAGGGGCAUGGUGACAGAUGCAAUCUCUAAACCAUCACAGUUCGGAUCGAAGUCUGCAACUCGACUUCGUGAAGUUGGAUUCGCUAGUAAUCGCGAUCAGCACGCGCGGUGAAUACGUUCCCGGGCCUUGUACACACCGCCCGUCAAGCCAUGGAAGCUGGGUCCGAA